rnacentral:rRNA from 1 species
UACGUAGGGACCAAGCGUUGUUCGGAUUUACUGGGCGUAAAGGGCGCGUAGGCGGCCAGCACAAGUCAGUUGUGAAAUCUCCGAGCUUAACUCGGAAAGGUCAACUGAUACUGUGCGGCUAGAGUGCAGAAGGGGCAACUGGAAUUCUUGGUGUAGCGGUGAAAUGCGUAGAUAUCAAGAGGGAACACCUGCGGCGAAGGCGGGUUGCUGGGCUGACACUGACGCUGAAGCGCGAAAGCCAGGGGAGCAAACGGG